rnacentral:lncRNA from 1 species
GGUGAUUUAUAAGAAAUCGUCUGCUUGCAGUUUGUACGUCUAACCGGGUAAACGAGCGAGUAGUAAACGACAAGCAGACUUAAAUGUUUUAAUAUUUCUGGAUAUAUUAUAGCUUAUUUUAACUUCUAUAUUGAAAGUAUGUAUGUUUUCCCAUCGUGUACUUCUGCAGUCGGGCGUUUCGACCAUAGACUGUAAAAGGUUUCAACAGCUGAGGGAUGCUCUUUAACUACCAUUAAUCUCGGCGCUGCUUUAACAAAAAAGAAGGAGUUCCCUUAAAAGUUCUGCGAUGGAGUUUACAGAUGAGGAGAAAAUAUGGCUGCAAAGAGUGUCUGCUGAAAUACCUGAAGGAAAUGAACUCACUGCAAAAGAGAAGCAGUUACAGGAGAAAGCAAAGCCAGAGACUGAAUUUCAGGCCCAGAUCUUCCAAACUAUGGCCUCCAUACAAUUUGGACUGAAUGAUCUAAUAACCUCAACAAUAGAGGUGAAAAACUCUGUCCAGCAGAGGAGCAGCGUCUCAUCACAAUGUGGAUAAACAUCAAAUACCAAGAUGAUGUUGCGUUUACUUUUUCUUUUUGGUUAUAUAACUGAAUAUUCAAAAUAAACUAACCUAAAAAAAAAUCUUCUGUACAUAACAGUGAUAUCAAGUGACUUUGGCACUUUGUAAUUGGCCGCAAGAAUACAAGUUAAUCUUUUUCAUGAUCUCAGCAGGGUAUUCUUACGUCAUUAAUGAUUUAUUAGUGGAUGUCAGGUUUAGAUCAUAGUUACACCAGAGAAUGUAGCAUUGAGUUUUAGUGACCUCAGCUCAUGAAAUGUUUCCUCCGCUAUGUACAACAGGACACUUCACUAUGCUAUGUAAUGCUGACUUUGAGAAAAUAAUGCUAUUGCUGUUUGCAUGCUCUUUUAUUGUUGUACGAUCUAUGAAAUCAUGAGAAAACAGUAAACCAAUUUGUUGUUAUUCUUUUUUUUUUUUUAUGUUAUUGGUGCUUUUUUAACAAUAGACAUUAAUGCUUUUGAAAUGUUUGCCAUGCAUAGUUCUCCAAAAACUCAGUAUGCUUUGUUUUUUAUCAUGUUUGCAGGGAUGAUAACAUCUCUACCUCAAAUACAAUAGCAAACCGUAUACAAUACAUAUUUUAGUUUGCACACAUGUAAAAUAAAUCGGACCAUGGGAUUUUGGACAGUUGCAGAGUUCUAAUUUUCAGAUUUUUCGAUAUUGUUUAUUUAUAUGAUCUCUAUCCAUGACUCACACAAAGCUUUAAAAAAUGUUAUUUUCAAAAUGUCUGUGCAUUCCACUCUGUUUCCAAUUUUAG